rnacentral:rRNA from 1 species
GACGAACGCUGGCGGCGUGCUUAACACAUGCAAGUCGAACGGAAAGGCCCUGCUUUUGUGGGGUGCUCGAGUGGCGAACGGGUGAGUAACACGUGAGUAACCUGCCCUUGACUUUGGGAUAACUUCAGGAAACUGGGGCUAAUACCGGAUAGGAGCUCCUGCUGCAUGGUGGGGGGUGGAAAGUUUCGGCGGUUGGGGAUGGACUCGCGGCUUAUCAGCUUGUUGGUGGGGUAGUGGCUUACCAAGGCUUUGACGGGUAGCCGGCCUGAGAGGGUGACCGGCCACAUUGGGACUGAGAUACGGCCCAGACUCGUACGGGAGGCAGCAGUGGCGAAUAUUGCACAAUGGGCGGAAGCCUGAUGCAGCAACGCCGCGUGCGGGAUGACGGCCUUCGGGUUGUAAACCGCAUUCGCCUGUGACGAAGCGUGAGUGACGGUAAUGGGUAAAGAAGCACCGGCUAACUACGUG